UACGUAGGGUGCGAGCGUUAAUCGGAAUUACUGGGCGUAAAGCGUGCGCAGGCGGUUAUGUAAGACAAGUGUGAAAUCCCCGGGCUUAACCUGGGAACUGCAUUUGUGACUGCAUAGCUAGAGUACGGUAGAGGGGGAUGGAAUUCCGCGUGUAGCAGUGAAAUGCGUAGAUAUGCGGAGGAACACCGAUGGCGAAGGCAAUCCCCUGGACCUGUACUGACGCUCAUGCACGAAAGCGUGGGGAGCAAACAGG
rnacentral:rRNA from 1 species